GUGAGGAAUAUUGGUCAAUGGGCGAAAGCCUGAACCAGCCAUGUCGCGUGAAGGAUGAAUGUCCUAUGGAUUGUAAACUUCUUUUGCAGGAGGGUAAAGUGAGCUACGUGUCGUUCAUUGCAAGUACCCUGCGAAUAAGCAUCGGCUAACUCCGUGCCAUCAGCCGCGGUAAUACGGAGGAUGCGAGCGUUAUCCGGAUUUAUUGGGUUUAAAGGGUGCGUAGGCGGACUAAUUAGUCAGCGGUGAAAUUUUGCGGCUCAACCGUAAAACUGCCGUUGAAACUGUUAGUCUUGAGUGAGGUAGAGGUAGGCGGAAUGUGUGGUGUAGCGGUGAAAUGCUUAUAUAUCACACAGAACACCGAUUGCGUAGGCAGCUUACUGGAGCGCAACUGACGCUGAGGCACGAAAGCGUGGGGAUCGAACAGGAUUAGAAACCCGUGUAGUCC
rnacentral:rRNA from 1 species